rnacentral:rRNA from 1 species
AACGAACGCUGGCGGCAGGCCUAACACAUGCAAGUCGAGCGAGGACUUCGGUCCUAGCGGCGGACGGGUGAGUAACGCGUGGGAACGUGCCCUUUGCUACGGAAUAGCCCCGGGAAACUGGGAGUAAUACCGUAUGUGCCCGAGAGGGGAAAGAUUUAUCGGCAAAGGAUCGGCCCGCGUUGGAUUAGGUAGUUGGUGGGGUAAUGGCCUACCAAGCUGACGAUCCAUAGCUGGUUUGAGAGGAUGAUCAGCCACACUGGGACUGAGACACGGCCCAGACUCCUACGGGAGGCAGCAGUGGGGAAUCUUAGACAAUGGGGGAAACCCUGAUCUAGCCAUGCCGCGUGAGCGAUGAAGGCCUUAGGGUUGUAAAGCUCUUUCAGUGGGGAAGAUAAUGACGGUACCCACAGAAGAAGCCCCGGCUAACUCCGUGCCAGCAGCCGCCGUAAUAC